AUAGUACUCUCUCCAUCUCAAAAUUCUUGUCUUACAUUUUUCUAAAUACGGAUGUAUCAAGUCAUGUUUUAGUAUUAGAUACAUCCGUAUCUAGACAAAUCUAAGAAAGAAUUUUGGGAUGGAGGGAGUACUAC
rfam:Triticum urartu cultivar G1812 contig1070138, whole genome shotgun sequence.